rnacentral:rRNA from 1 species
UACGGGGGGGGCAAGCGUUGUUCGGAAUUACUGGGCGUAAAGGGCUCGUAGGUGGCCAACUAAGUCAGACGUGAAAUCCCCAGGCUCAACUUGGGAACUGCGUCUGAUACUGGAUGGCUUGAAUUCGGGAGAGGGAUGCAGAAUUCCGGGUGUAGCGGUGAAAUGCGUAGAUAUCUGGAGGAAUACCGGUGGCGAAGGCGGCAUCCUGGACCGAUAUUGACACUGAUGAGCGAAAGCUAGGGGAGCAAACGGG